rnacentral:rRNA from 1 species
GGCGGCGUGGAUUAGGCAUGCAAGUCGAGCGUGCGGAUCUAUGAGUAAGGCCGACCGCAAGGAAGGUUUUACAAGUGGAUUUGUAUAGCGGCAAACGGGUGAGUAACACGUGAGUAAUCUACCCCUAGGACUGGAAUAGCCCAGAGAAAUCUGGGGUAAUGACAGAUGUGACUACGAUCUCUCAUGAGGACGUAGUAAAAGACGGGGACCGCAAGGCCCGUCACCAAGGGAGGAGCUCGCGGCCUAUCAGCUUGUUGGUGAGGUAAAAGCUCACCAAGGCGAAGACGGGUAGCUAGUCUGAGAGGAUGUUUAGCCACACUGGGACUGAGACACUGCCCAGACUCCUACGGGAGGCUGCAGUCGAGAAUCUUUAGCAAUGGGGGAAACCCUGACUAUGCGACGCCGCGUGAGGGAUGAAGGUCUUCGGAUUGUAAACCUCUUUCGACCGGAAAGAAUAUCCUGACGGGUAAUAUCCGUCAGGACUGACGGUACCGGGAGAAGAAGCCACGGCCAACUCCGUGCCAGCAGCCGCGGUAAUACGGAGGUGGCAAGCGUUACUCGGAUUUAUUGGGUGUAAAGGGCAGGUAGGCGGC